rnacentral:rRNA from 1 species
CGGACCAAGGAGUCUAACAUGUGCGCGAGUCAUUGGGUCUUGAUUAGGCCCAAAGGCGUAAUGAAAGUGAAGGGCGGUUCGGCCGUCUGCCUUGGGAUCCCGUGGACCUCGCGUUCGCGGGCGCACCAAGGGCCCGUCCCGGUCGCCUCGUCGACGGGGCGGAGCAAGAGCGUACACGUUGGGACCCGAAAGAUGGUGAACUAUGCCUGGGCAGGACGAAGCCAGAGGAAACUCUGGUGGAGGUCCGCAGCGAUUCUGACGUGCAAAUCGAUCGUCAGACCUGGGUAGGGGCGAAAGACUAAUCGAACCAUCUAGUAGCUGGUUCCCUCCGAAGUUUCCCUCAGGAUAGCUGGCGCUCGGAGGAUGCAGUCUCAUCCGGUAAAGCGAAUGAUUAGAGGCCUUGGGGUCGAAAAGACCUCAACCUAUUCUCAAACUUUAAAUGGGUGAGAAGUCCGGUUUGCUCGACUGAAGCCCGGACGGCAACUUGGAUGCGAGUGCCAAGUGGGCCACUUUUGGUAAGCAGAACUGGCGCUGUGGGAUGAACCAAACGCCGGGUUAAGGGGCCCGAUGCGAGACGCUCAUGAGAUCCCAUGAAAGGUGUUGGUUGCUAUAGACAGCAGGACGGUGGCCAUGGAAGUCGGAAUCCGCUAAGGAGUGUGUAACAACUCACCUGCCGAAGCAACUAGCCCUGAAAAUGGAUGGCGCUUCAGCGUCGACCCCAUACCCGGCCGCCGCGGCCGAAAAGCCUCGUGUUUUAAGCCGCGGUGAGUAGGAGGGGCGCGGAGGCGAGCGUCGAAGGUGCCGGGCGUAAGCCCGCCUGGAGCCGCCUCCGGCGCAGAUCUUGGUGGUAGUAGCAAAUACUCAAGUGAGAACCUUGAGGACUGAGGUGGAGAAGGGUUCCAUGUGAACAGCAGUUGAACAUGGGUCAGUCGGUCCUAAGGGAUAGGAGAAAUCCGUUCCGAGGCGGGACCUCCUCCGAAUUUAUUUGAAAGUCCCGCUGAUGACCGAAAGGGAAUCGGGUUAAUAUUCCCGAACCCGGACGCGGAGAUCGUCCUCUUCGGAGGUACAUUGCGGUAACGCAAACGAGCUCGGAGACGUCGACGGGAGCACCGGGAAGAGUUAUCUUUUCUUUGUAAGGAUUCGACUCCCUGGAAUCGGCUCGCCCGGAGAUAGGGAUGGUGUUUCCGUAAAGCACCGCGCCUCUUGCGGUGUCCGGAUCGCUCCCGUCGGCCCUUGAAAAUCCGAGUGAGAGAUAGUGAUUUUCGUGCCGGACCGUACC